rnacentral:rRNA from 1 species
UACGUAGGGUGCAAGCGUUGUCCGGAAUUAUUGGGCGUAAAGAGCUCGUAGGCGGCUUGUUGCGUCGACUGUGAAAAACCUGCGGCUCAACCGUGUGGUCUGCAGUCGAUACGGGCAGGCUGGAGUUCGGUAGGGGAGACUGGAAUUCCUGGUGUAGCGGUGAAAUGCGCAGAUAUCAGGAGGAACACCGGUGGCGAAGGCGGGUCUCUGGGCCGAUACUGACGCUGAGGAGCGAAAGCGUGGGGAGCGAACAGG